UUGAGACAUAAAUUUAUACCGAAUAAUACGACCAACUGUUUAAAAUUCAAAGAUCUUGGCGGUAUCUUAUAUACUCAGGGGAACCUGUCUCUUAAUUCGAUAUUCCACGAAAUUCAAUUCUAUAUUAGAAUACCAGCUUGUGUACUGCUGUCGUCAGCAAACCUCUAAAAGUUAGUUUGCAGUAAUAGCAAUAACCCUAUUAACGUCAAGUCAAAGUGCAGCCAAUAUAUAGAAGCUCGAUGGGUUACAAUCUUCAUAAAGAAACGAAUAAAAUUAAUAAAAAAUUUUUGAAGGUGGACUUGAAAGUAAUGAUUAGAUAUUAUUAUCAUAAAAAUUAAUCUAAGAUAUGCACACAUCGCCCGUCACUCUUGUCGCAAGACA
rnacentral:rRNA from 1 species